AGGUGGGGAUGACGUCAAAUCAUCAUGCCCCUUAUGAUUUGGGCUACACACGUGCUACAAUGGACAAUACAAAGGGCAGCGAAACCGCGAGGUCAAGCAAAUCCCAUAAAGUUGUUCUCAGUUCGGAUUGUAGUCUGCAACUCGACUACAUGAAGCUGGAAUCGCUAGUAAUCGUAGAUCAGCAUGCUACGGUGAAUACGUUCCCGGGUCUUGUACACACCGCCCGUCACACCACGAGAGUUUGUAACACCCGAAGCCGGUGGAGUAACCUUUUAGGAGCUAGCCGUCGAAGGUGGGACAAAUGAUUGGGGUGAAGUCGUAACAAGGUAGCCGUAUCGGAAGGUGCGGCUGGAUCACCUCCUUU
rnacentral:rRNA from 1 species